AAAUAUCUGAAAUUUUGAUGCCGCUUUGCUCACAAUGUCAUCCUUUAUCCUUUAAACCUGGAGUCGUCUGAGGGGGUUUGCAAACUGCAAAGCGCCCUGUUCCCAAUGAUGCACCUGAGAAGUCUGUAAAUGGGGUAAAUUUAGGCAAACACACCUGGAAAAGUGGCAUUUUGGAGUGCGGAAUGCUGUGGCCGGAGGUUAGCAACCGGAUGAUGCAAAAGCGCAUUUAAGGCAGCAGUUCUGGCCUUCCCCGCCAUGGAGCAGAAGCCCCCAUAGUGAUGUGAGAAGCGGCGCUGUCCCAGUUUACUAGGAUGGGAUGGGCUUUGGAUCUAACCAGCAGCGAAGAAAACCUGCGGUGCGGCUGCGCGCGGUAGUAGGGGUCCACAAAGCGUCAGAAUCUGCAGCAGCCCCGGCCUUUGCGAGCUCCAGCUCCGAAGUCAACCCGGCCCCCAAAUUCCACUGGGAAACCUUAAGACACCGGUGUUUUUACCGUAAGAAGACCUCAGAAGCCCAUGGAAACAAGGCGAUGACGGCGCUUGAGGGUGACCAGACCUCCUCAAUCAUUCCAUCAGCCACCCAGGACUCAACAGCAGAACCUCAGAGGACUCAGCUGAAAGAGGUUUUCACUCGAGCACUAACCACAGAGAAAUGGGAAGUGCCAUCCUGCUGUCAUACGCAGCCGAUGGCUGGGUAGGACUAAAUGCCCUUCUGUGGUGAGAUGAACCAAGACGGCAGAUGGGGGAAUAACAUCAGUGAGAGAGAGAUUACGAAUGGAUCCUUGUAUUGCAGAUCAAACUGGGUUGUCUCUUCUCAAACCACCCAGGCAGUUUCUGAAUGUCCCACGAUAGGGGUAGGAGAAAAGAAAAAAAAGACAAAACAGGAGACGGUGGGUAAGAAAACCUAAAAGGCACAAUGAGGCAAAGGCCUAAGAUGGAGGCUGGCUUUGGGAUCUGAAAUCCGGCCACAAUCCUUGUUUUACCUAAAGUCCAAGAAUUGUCAAAAAGAAAACCCAGAAGGGCUAGUCAUUCUAAAUUUUAAAAUCUUUUCUUCCUGGCCCACCAAGUCCUUGUGUUUUCUUUCUAGGCGCCCAUAAAUACAACCCCAUUACAGUUCUAUUUGGCUAAUAAUUUACAGAACAUUUAAAAUACCAGGUAGGUGAACGUCUCUUCAUGGCUUUUGUGUAAGGGCCUGAAGCGAAGAGAAAAACAACUGAUUGGAGAUUCCUAUCUGGCGCCUUCUCCAGGGAAACUGACAACCAGAGAAAUCUGUUGCUAGGAUUUCUAGGACAUCUGGAAAUUCCCUUUUUGUUCUUUCUCAACAAUAUAAAAUGGUAUAUUCGCAAACCUAUCUGAAUCACCUCAAUCUAGGCCACUUUGAAAAUUUCAUUUAAAAAUGUAAUCACAGAUUUUUAAACUAAUUACCCAAUUUGCAAACAAAUCCCAGCUACUUCUGGUCUUGAACAUGGAGCAAAGGUGUGUCAGUAAGGCCAACAUUCUUAGGUUGACAGAGACAGGUUAACACAUUGGCUGGCU
rnacentral:antisense_RNA from 1 species